rnacentral:lncRNA from 10 species
GUGGGCACGGUCCCUCAAGGAGCAUCUGGGGAGCCUGGGGGAGACUAGGAGGGGCACCCGCCAGGCCUGAGGAGGCAGAAAGCUUCCAAAGGGAAGCAACACCUGAGUUAAGAAAGGAAAAGGCAGGAAUUGGCAAGUGGAUAAAUGCACAUCUUCUCUAGUCAGACCAAACAGUACGUGGAAAGAGACAGGGCCUGGCGCGUUCCAGGAAAUAAGAUUUCAGCACGGUUAGAAGGUUGAGUUUAUGCCUGGUGGUGGCAGGGGGCUGGGGAGGGGACAGGUCAGGGAUGCUUGGAGGGAAUGCCGGAGAGGAGGGGAGGAGGCACACCGGUGCUCAGAGCCUCUGUCCUUUCACACUGUGGUCAGGAGAGGUGAACUUAAAACCAGAGAGAUCUGGCAGAGAGCCGUCAUCGGGCAGCGCCUUUGGGCACGUUGGCAUCUGAGCUGGGUGCGGGUGGGAUGUUAGGAGGCCAGGCCUCAGUGGGGCUGUGGGCGAGGGCCAGCCUGCUCAGCCUCUGGGUACCAGAGACGCAGGAGCUGGGCGAUUCUUCUGCAGGUGUUUGGGUGUCAUUAGACAACAGAGGGGAGAGGGGCAAACAGUGAGGGAGGUUUCUCAGAGACUGGGCUGGGAGGCCCUGAAGCACGGGAAGAGGGGUAGGGUGGUGGAAAUGAGGACGAGGACGGGGCAGGUGGAACGCCCAGGGUGCCGUGGAGUAUUUGGUUCUGAAGCUCAGGAUCUGCCAGGGAGGUGAGGCCUCCAGACAGCUCUGCAGAGACAGAAAGAGACACAAAAAGAGAAACUCUGGAACUGAGCCUGAGGAACCCACCAAGACAAGGGAAGGGCGUGCAGAGGCGUCUGGCAGGGUGGCGAAGGCCCGGGUGACCCCGAGCACUGGACCGGGUCCAACUCCAUCCAGCAGCUGAGAGCUCCUGUGAACACUUGGCUUCAAGUAACUUCCAGUCCUGGAAAAAGAGGAGAAAUAUUUUCUCUGUUCCUCCUAAGUGCAACUGAAAGCCCUGGACAUUAUAUAUAAAACAAACAUAAGAAGACUGUUAUGAUGGGGAGAAGAAGGCAGGCAGCUAGGGACCCUGGGACACAAGGAAUGACACAGUGGUGACCUCACAACAAAAGCCUGCUCUCUAGCCAAAGGAUCGGGAGAGGGCUAGCCUCGCCAGAUGCACUUGUUUAGGUAAGAACUGCUCUGCCCUAACCAAAUACCAGCCCUUCUCCAUGGUGUUGGUGGAGUGGCCUCUCCCGGCCACGAUGGUAUCAGUAGUGAGGAGAUAGAACUCCCGGGAACUCCCCACAGCAGUACCAAAGAACCUCUUUCUUCUUUGGAUAUCAACAAAGACCAAGUGGGGAACCUGGUGUCCACCCCACGUGACAGCAACACAGUGGCACCCCCCAUCUUUUCCUGCCAGAGUGGUGUCAUGGGAGCUGGCUAAGAUAGAUUAAACAAGAUCCAGACUCUGAAUAUUUUAUAAUACUCAAAAUGUCUAAGUUUCAAUGAACAACUACUUGUCAUAACAAGAACCAGGAAAAUUUCACCUUGGAUUAAAAGAAAAACAGCACACACCAACACUGAGAUGGCAGAGAUGUUGGAAUUAUCUGGAAAGGACUGUAAAACAGCCAUUAUAAAAAUGCUUCAGUGAGCAAUUACAGAUGUGUUUGGAACAAAUGAGAAAUUAAGAAUAGAGUCUUAAUACAGAAAUGGAAAAGAUACAAACAAAAUGAGGGCUUUAGAACUGAAAAAUGCAAAAACCAAAAUUAAAAACUCAAAAGAUGGUAUCAACAGCAGGACAGAGAUGACAGAGAAAAGAAUCAGUAAACUGGAAGAUAGGAUAUAACAGAAAUUUCCCAAUCUGAACAACAGAGAGAAAAUAGACCAAAGGAAGAAGAAGAAGAAGAAGAAGAAAAAAUAAAAAGAGAGAACGGAGCCUCAGAGACCCAUGGGACUAUCAUAGACGAUCUAACAUUUGUGUCAUCAGAAUGCUAGAAGGAGAGGUGAAGGGGAUGAGCUGACAAGAAUUGAAGAAAUAAUAGUUGAAAUGUUCCAAACUUGGCAAAAAACACAAACCCACAGUUCUCAAGAAGCUGAGCAAAUCCAAAAUACGAUAAACAAAAAGAAAUCCACAUCAACACAAAUCCACUUUCCGAAAUCUGAUGACAAAGAAACAAACUUGAAAGCAGCCAGGGAGAAGCAACACUUUACUUAUGGGGAGACAGCAAUGUCAAUGACAGCAGAUCGCUCCUCAGGAACUAUGGAGGCCAGAGGAAGUGGCAUAAGAAGUUUUCAAACGCUGAGAGAAAAGAACUAUCAACCUAGAAUUCUAAACUAAUGAGGAAUCAAGAUUCUCAGAUGAAAGAAAACAGCAAACAUUUAUUGACUGUCGACCAUGCACCAGGCCCUUUUGAGCUGUGAGCUAGAAACUAUUAUUAUCAGCGUCUUACAGAGCAGGGACCUGAGGCUUUGCACGGGAAGUGGCCAGCUAACGGUUUCACAGUGAGGGGGAGGAUUCAAAAUGGAGUCUUCCCAAAAGCAUGAACUUACACGUGAACAGGACUGUACCUUGCAGCACUCUUUGUAAAGCUAAAGAUCGGAAGUUUCUCAAGGAUCCAUCCAAGGGACUGGCUGGACAGUGUCCGCCCACUCUGUGGUGUUGUGUGGGGCUGUAAGAGGCAAUGAGGAGGGACUCUACUAUCACCACAAAGUUACUGUCAGGAUAUUGCCGACUGGAGGAGCCCAGGUGCAGAACUGUGUAGAGAAUAUGCUGCCUUUUAUAUAAGAAAAAGGAGGAAAUAGGAGUGUGUCUACAUAUUUGCUUUUAUUUUGAAAAGGAGACAAUGGAAGAAUAAACCACAAGGCUACAAACAGAAAUGUACCCUGUUUUAUAAGCUGGCUUUGCAACGCUGCAAGUGUUUUUUAACUAGAAAACAAAAUUAAACUAAAACGAAUAAAAAUCAUCUCUUAAUAUUGAAAACAAACGGUCCUGUAUACAAAAUUGAUGGCUUAACCUCACAGAGAAUUGUUUCAAGUGACUUUGAACGCAGUAAUUCGUGCAUUCCAAGUGGGACAAAGAGACAAAAAGAACCACAAAUAAAACCUAAACUGUGUUCAGUAGUCUCAUUGUUGGUAAUAAAAAUGGU